GACAGAGGGGGCAAGCGUUGCUCGGAAUCACUGGGCGUAAAGGGCGCGUAGGCGGGAUGGCAAGUCGGUCGUGAAAUCCUUCGGCUCAACCGAAGAACGUCGGCCGAUACUGCCGUUCUUGAGGGAUGCAGAGGAGAUUGGAAUUCCCGGUGUAGCGGUGAAAUGCGCAGAUAUCGGGAAGAACACCAAUGGCGAAGGCAGCUCUCUGGGACGGUACUGACGCUGAGACGCGAAAGCGUGGGGAGCGAACAGG
rnacentral:rRNA from 1 species